rfam:[Eubacterium rectale] ATCC 33656 chromosome, complete genome.
CCGAGCAGCCGGGGUGGUAGCGGUACCUUGAACCAACAAUCCGCUAUAGUUGGGGUGAUGCUUCGUAGAGGGCUUAAGCGGUGGAGCUGCCCUCCAUAAGUGGCGUUGACGUCUGGGUCUUGCGCAAUGGAAAUCUAUGAACCGUGUCAGGGUGGGAACACAGCAGCACUAAGUAGAAGCUUCCAUGUGACGCGAGGCAGCCUGGAGGGAGUUAACUGUGGAGGUAACGUCUGUUGUGAUGGUUCGAAGCGAGGCGCUCGG